CCCAGAGCAGAUCACAGAUGCCAGGACUUGGGUCAUCACUGGCAUACAGCUAUGGCAGGGGAAGGCCCCCAGUGGAUGGGAGGAUGAAGGAGACCUGGCACCUUGCCCAGAGGAGUCUUCUGAGCCCACGAGGGACCAGGGCUUCCACCUAGGGAUGGAGGACCACCUGGAGCCUUUUUUCAUGGGAACCACUCCCCAGCUGCCAGGUAUUAUCCGGAGACCCAGGCCCGGCUCUGGGCGAGCGUCUCCGGAGCCUCCCAGCUGUUAGUUUUGGGUCCUGCUCCACUGUGACCCUGGAAACCCUUCCCCCGCUGAGCUCCCCGUGACUCCUCCUCACGCCAGGUCCCCAUCACCUGGCCAUUCACGAGGCCGUCUCCAGCCCCCCUCACCCGCUCCCCCAGGACCAGCGACGGGGCCCCCAUCACUCCGACACAGACGGUGCUGGAAGUGGAGCGGGCUCUGCAUUCACUGUGGGCACGAUUUCUGCCCAGGAGAAAACCCCCGCCUGCCUCGGGCUGCUUCUCCGACCCUGUCCGCUCCAGCUCAGGCCCGUGCUCCUUCCUCAGGGCUCACCCACCUGCCUCAGCUUGACUCCCGUCUCCCAGGAGACUCCGGUGAAGGCCUGGGAGCAGCGGCCGGAGGGCAGGGAGGGCUGCCGGAAACGCCCGCCGGCCUCUGUUCACCCCGUGGUUCGUGGCCAGGGAGCCUCGAUGCUUCCCCAGUCCCACAAACCUCCGGAAAGGAUGGAAAUCAUGGGGAACUUUCCUCUGGCCUUCGUCCAGCCUGUGGGGAGGAGUGUUACUAAAUGGCUGCGGCCAGGGCUGAGCCGGCCCUUUUAGUGGAGAGAUUGGGGUCCAUUUGGUGAUGAAAAUGCCAUAAAUCCCGAGCUACAAAGAC